rnacentral:tRNA from 1 species
GGGGGCAUAGCUCAGUGGUAGAGUACAUGCUCAGCAUGCACAAGGUCCUGGGUUCAAUCCCCAGUACCUCCA